ACGUACACUCCUACGGGAGGCAGCAGUGGGGAAUAUUGCACAAUGGGCGCAAGCCUGAUGCAGCCAUGCCGCGUGUAUGAAGAAGGCCUUCGGGUUGUAAAGUACUUUCAGCGGGGAGGAAGGCGAUAAGGUUAAUAACCUUGUCGAUUGACGUUACCCGCAGAAGAAGCACCGGCUAACGCCGUGCCAGCAGCCGCGGUAAUACGGAGGGUGCAAGCGUUAAUCGGAAUUACUGGGCGUAAAGCGCACGCAGGCGGUCUGUCAAGUCGGAUGUGAAAUCCCCGGGCUCAACCUGGGAACUGCAUUCGAAACUGGCAGGCUAGAGUCUUGUAGAGGGGGGUAGAAUUCCAGGUGUAGCGGUGAAAUGCGUAGAGAUCUGGAGGAAUACCGGUGGCGAAGGCGGCCCCCUGGACAAAGACUGACGCUCAGGUGCGAAAGCGUGGGGAGCAAACAGGAUUAGAUACCCGUGUAGUCCCAUG
rnacentral:rRNA from 1 species